rnacentral:lncRNA from 1 species
CAUAUGCUCCUCAACUCAUCCAGGCAAAGACAGGUGGAGUUGAAUGCUACUAUAAUGAGGCGUUACAAGAAUAUUCAUUCCUAUUUAGAUUAUUCUAAUCAAGAAAAUAAUGUAUCUGCUUUAUUCAUUUAGCACUACCUUAAAAGUAAUAAAGAAAAAAAGAGAGCACAUCUGUGAAGUUGAGCUAAUUAAAUUGGAAGCGAAGGUAAUAGAGAGCAAAAAGAGAUCCAGCAGUUGGUGCACAACUAGGGAGCAAAACAUCUUGAAAAGCCUCCUUUAUGGAAGCAGCCAAUCCAACUGGACUGCAACGUCUGCUCUGAUCUGCUGUGCACCUCCAACACUAGGCUGAGCCGCUUUCAUUGCCUGACUGACGGACUAAUUGAAGACCUAAGGAGUUCAUUAUUAGGGUAUCCUAUAAACACCAGAGACACACGCUGUACAGUACAGUAGGUGUGUGCUUGCAUAAAUAACAUUCUCUAAAUUCAAUUGCAAUGUUCCCACUGUGAAUCCAGACCUGUUUUACCGCUAGUCAACUUUCUGGAUUUGUAGAUUUUGGCAGUUGGAGUUUCAUCUGUUGUGAAUAUGGCUUCCUCUCGACGAGGAUACAUCUAGGGUGAAUUGUGUCAAGCAUAAGUUGUGAGGAGGACAUCAUCUGCACGCAGUGCCAUAGCUGCAGCCAGAGCUGUUUGUUUGAUCCCUCAACAGCAACUCAUUCAAGUUUGAAACGGUCCAGCGGUCUUUUUCUAUGACCAUGGUGUUGUGGCCUGCAGAUACUAGUCUCCCAGCUUAUCUGUCCACUUUGAACAUGGCCACUGUGCUUAUGCUGUAUCUUUCAACCUGUGAAAACCAAAACUGGAGUUAACUGAUCCCACAGACAGACACAUUCCUGUCAUGGCUGCAUCAAACAACCCAUCUGACAUUGAUCUUAGUCUAUUAAAAAAACUAAAUUCCCCUUCAGCCAUAUGCUGAAUUUAUAUUGCCAGAGGGAGCUUCAAGUGUACAUGAGCUGGUUUUUAAAUCCUUUUCAGUCUGACACAACUCGGGCAAGGUUUGAGUUCAAUAAUAUCUUCAGGGCACCCUAACAAGUACAACAUUUACCCAAAUUGACCUGGAUUGAGUUAAUUUUAUUACUUUACUUUAUGACUAUAUAAUUGAUUCCACUCAUGUUUCUAUGAUGAACAGACUGUAAAGCAUAAAGUGCUAGCAUUGAAAAGGAGGAAGGCGAAGCUAGAAAAUAAUUAGUCAUACAUGUAUAUAACAUUGUUAGCAUUUUUCACAUCUGUUUAGUUUAAAUCAUACAAAAGUGUAAAACAAGAUUGUUGUUGAGGGUUAAAGGUCAUGAAGCUGCAUAGCAUUCAGAUACAAGUGCUGUAUUCAUCUUCUCAUCAAAUGUAUAACGAGGUCAAAUAAGCCUAUUUCCUAAUCAUUUAAACUUUAGGUGUGUAAUGUGCUGUACUAUCCACUAAUAAAUAAGCUGGUUUAGGCUUCA